rnacentral:rRNA from 1 species
UCAGGAUGAACGCUAGCUACAGGCUUAACACAUGCAAGUCAGGGGCAGCAUUCUGAAAGCUUGCUUCAGAGAUGGCGACCGGCGCACGGGUGAGUAACGCGUAUCCAACCUUCCCCAUAGUAGAGGAUAGCCCGGCGAAAGUCGGAUUAAUACUCUAUGUUAUUCAAUGCGGACAUCUAAUUUGAAUCAAAGAUUUAUCGCUAUGGGAUGGGGAUGCGUCUGAUUAGCUUGUUGGCGGGGUAACGGCCCACCAAGGCUACGAUCAGUAGGGGUUCUGAGAGGAAGGUCCCCCACAUUGGUACUGAGACACGGACCAAACUCCUACGGGAGGCAGCAGUGAGGAAUAUUGGUCAAUGGACGAGAGUCUGAACCAGCCAAGUAGCGUGCAAGGAUGACUGCCCUAUGGGUUGUAAACUGCUUUUAUGCGGGAAUAAAGUCAGGUACGUGUACCUGUUUGUAUGUACCGCAUGAAUAAGGACCGGCUAAUUCCGUGCCAGCCGCCGC